rnacentral:rRNA from 1 species
GACGAACGCUGGCGGCGUGCUUAACACAUGCAAGUCGAACGGAAAGGCCCUGCUUUUGUGGGGUGCUCGAGUGGCGAACGGGUGAGUAACACGUGAGUAACCUGCCCUUGACUUUGGGAUAACUUCAGGAAACUGGGGCUAAUACCGGAUAGGAGCUCCUGCUGCAUGGUGGGGGUUGGAAAGUUUCGGCGGUUGGGGAUGGACUCGCGGCUUAUCAGCUUGUUGGUGGGGUAAUGGCUUACCAAGGCUUUGACGGGUAGCCGGCCUGAGAGGGUGACCGGCCACAUUGGGACUGAGAUACGGCCCAGACUCCUACGGGAGGCAGCAGUGGGGAAUAUUGCACAAUGGGCGGAAGCCUGAUGCAGCAACGCCGCGUGCGGGAUGACGGCAUUCGGGUUGUAAACCGCUUUCGCCUGUGACGAAGCGUGAGUGACGGUAAUGGGUAAAGAAGCACCGGCUAACUACGUGCCAGCAGCCGCGGUGAUACGUAGGGUGCGAGCGUUGUCCGGAUUUAUUGGGCGUAAAGGGCUCGUAGGUGGUUGAUCGCGUCGGAAGUGUAAUCUUGGGGCUUAACCCUGAGCGUGCUUUCGAUACGGGUUGACUUGAGGAAGGUAGGGGAGAAUGGAAUUCCUGGUGGAGCGGUGGAAUGCGCAGAUAUCAGGAGGAACACCAGUGGCGAAGGCGGUUCUCUGGGCCUUUCCUGACGCUGAGGAGCGAAAGCGUGGGGAGCGAACAGGCUUAGAUACCCUGGUAGUCCACGCUGUAAACGGUGGGUACUAGGUGUGGGGUCCAUUCCACGGGUUCCGUGCCGUAGCUAACGCUUUAAGUACCCCGCCUGGGGAGUACGGCCGCAAGGCUAAAACUCAAAGGAAUUGACGGGGCCCCGCACAAGCGGCGGAGCAUGCGGAUUAAUUCGAUGCAACGCGUAGAACCUUACCUGGGUUUGACAUGGAUCGGGAGCGCUCAGAGAUGGGUGUGCCUCUUUUGGGGUCGGUUCACAGGUGGUGCAUGCCUGUCGUCAGCUCGUGUCGUGAGAUGUUGGGUUAAGUCCCGCAACGAGCGCAACCCUUGUUCACUGUUGCCAGCACGUUAUGGUGGGGACUCAGUGGAGACCGCCGGGGUCAACUCGGAGGAAGGUGGGGAUGACGUCAAGUCAUCAUGCCCCUUAUGUCCAGGGCUUCACGCAUGCUACAAUGGCUGGUACAGAGAGUGGCGAGCCUGUGAGGGUGAGCGAAUCUCGGAAAGCCGGUCUCAGUUCGGAUUGGGGUCUGCAACUCGACCUCAUGAAGUCGGAGUCGCUAGUAAUCGCAGAUCAGCAACGCUGCGGUGAAUACGUUCCCGGGGCU